rnacentral:misc_RNA from 1 species
AAGUCGUAACAAGGUCUCCGUUGGUGAACCAGCGGAGGGAUCAUUACCGAGUUUACAACUCCCAAACCCAAUGUGAACGUUACCAAACUGUUGCCUCGGCGGGAUCUCAUGCCCCGGGUGCGUCGCAGCCCCGGACCAAGGCGCCCGCCGGAGGACCAACCCAAAACUCUUUUUUGUAUACCCCCUCGCGGGUUUUUUACUUCUGAGACUUUCUCGGCGCCCCUAGUGGGCGUUUCGAAAAUGAAUCAAAACUUUCAACAACGGAUCUCUUGGUUCUG